rnacentral:lncRNA from 1 species
UAAAACAGACUACACAACUAUUUGCCAAUUCGAAUGAAUACCGGAGUUACAAACAACAUACUAGCAAAGGUUUGCUGAGAAAGGAGUCGAGCUCUACGCAACAUUCAACACAUCCGGCAAGGCGUCGGGAGCACCACCACUUUGACCAUUGAGAACAAUAACAUUCCCAUCAGAAUCAACAUCUAUAAUAACAGAAUCACCUUCUUUGAUCUCUGCUGAAAGCAUUUUCUCAGCCAUGCUGUCCUCGAGAAGCCUCAUUAUAGCUCUUCU